GCAGGUGUAGUCCAAUUAGGCAGAGACAGCAGACUUAAAAUCUGUCCAGUGAGAGUUCGAAUCUCUCCACCUGUACCA
rnacentral:tRNA from 1 species